AUGCCCAUUUAUUUUAUUUAUUUUCUAUAAAUACGUGUUUAGUUAUAUUUCCUUAUUAUAUAUGUAGGCAAUGUAGUCAUAUUAUAUGAAGAGUAUUAUUUAUGCAGUUUACGAACUUCUUAAAAAUAUUCUGAUUACGGCCCUGACCAAAUAGUUUAAAUACACCUAUCAUUUUAAAUUGUAAAUCGUUUUAAGGUAAUGGGUAACGCUAUUGUUUAUUUCGCGACUAGGGUUGAAAUACAUUAGUAAGAUAAAUUAAGGAUUGUAGGUGGUAUUGUUCUCAUAUCAUAAUGAUUUUUUGCUGAAGCAAAUGAUUCCUAUUUGUUAACACAAAGUAGUAGGCGUAAUAGAAAGAAGCAAUAAUUAUGAUAAUUGCUUCAGAUAUUCUCGUUUGUUGAUUACGGACUUUACAUAUAUAAAAGUCGAUUCUUUUUUUGUUAAUUAGUUUAGCAAUUUAAAUCAAAAUGAACCUGUCAGAGAAACUUCAAAUUUUGUUGCUGUGUUUUUGUUUUAUAAAUAUAACCGUCGCAAAUAUUAUAAUAUCCAACAGGUCCCCAAGAUCAUUUCUAUUACCUAUCCUCGGAUUUGGUCCAAUUUGUAAUAUUUGUCCAAAUCAUUUUUGUAAUGUUGAUCUAGCUGUAAUUGUUGGCUAUUGUUGCGGAUGUGCUAGAUUUUACGAUAAUUUACCUAUAAUAUGUCCACCGGCCAUAGUGUGUCCCAUAAUAGGACACUCAUUAUGCGAAGAUUACGAAUAUAUGAUGCAUUGCUGUUGUUAAAACUUUAUUUUGAAGGAAUGAUAUG